rnacentral:lncRNA from 1 species
AAAAUUUCAAGUGGAUGAAAACAGUAAUGUCAAGAAGAGAGGUAUGGACUUCAGGAUGACUGAAAUAGCUUGUGUGCCUUGGAAAGGGAGCGGGCUGGUGGUCAGGACUUUGAGAAGAGCCAUUCAGGAAACAUGUGGGUGGCAGAAUAAUUGCCACAGGAGAAGUCCACUAUUGGAAGCUGUGCAAACUUCCAAUCACCUGACAAAAGGUAAUGCACCAGGCCACGCCUCAUUUUUCCUGAGAGAAAAGGGAUGUGAGGGGAUCAAACACAAGACGCAGCAUUUUACAGUUCCACUUCCAAAGGCGUCCACUCUGUGACACAGCAGGACAAUCGGAUCGGCAUCUCAGCUGUAGAAUCGCAGAAACCUGAAAGCCGAGCACAUUAACAC